CUCUAGCCCUGAUAGAAAUGGAAAUCCUUUUUUUGAGAAAAGCUAUUUUUUCCUGAUUUUGCAGAACGACCAAAGGAAGUUCCUGCAAAGUUUUGGAAAAAAAGAUUUUAGAAAAAAAGAUUGUAAUGAAUAGCAGGAAAUUGC
rnacentral:sRNA from 1 species